GACGAACGCUGGCGGCGUGCUUAGCACAUGCAAGUCGAACGGUGAACCUCUUCGGAGGGGAUCAGUGGCGAACGGGUGAGUAACACGUGGGCAACCUGCCCCCGGCUCUGGGAUAACUCCAAGAAAUUGGGGCUAAUACCGGAUGUUCACCGCUUCCCGCAUGGGUGGUGGUGGAAAGGGUUUCCGGCUGGGGGUGGGCCCGCGGCCUAUCAGCUUGUUGGUGGGGUAGUGGCCUACCAAGGCGACGACGGGUAGCCGGCCUGAGAGGGUGACCGGCCACACUGGGACUGAGACACGGCCCAGACUCCUACGGGAGGCAGCAGUGGGGAAUAUUGCGCAAUGGGCGGAAGCCUGACGCAGCGACGCCGCGUGGGGGAUGACGGCCUUCGGGUUGUAAACCUCUUUCAGCAGGGACGAAGCGCAAGUGACGGUACCUGCAGAAGAAGCACCGGCCAACUACGUG
rnacentral:rRNA from 1 species